rnacentral:lncRNA from 1 species
GUUAACCAUCAAGGAGUCUUCAAUCAUGACUUCGGAAGAGAUCUCUUGCAACUCGUCCUUAGCCUUGUUGAUCUCCAAGCACAGAGACUCUUUCUCGGCUACGGCUCGAAGAUAUUGAGUACGCUUGGCCUUUAGUUCAGCAUUCUUGGCCAGCAUAGUAAGGACCUCGGAGUGAAUGACCUUCAACGUCGCUUUAAAGUCGGCAGAAAGAUUGAGCGACGGAAGCGUCAGUGCUUGCUCUAAUUUCGCACUCAAACAUUCAAGUUCAUCCUUGUGUCUGGCAACACUAGCCCUUCCAAUGUCCAUGUCCAUGAAGGACACGUACUCAAAUACCAACCCCUUCAAGAACUUCAAGUCCUCUUCUGAAGAAGCAGCAGGACGAUCAUAUGGAGUAGGGCGAGGCAUUUGGACCUGCCCCCAGGAAGCGAACAAAUCCUGGAUAGAACGAACAAUCCUGUCAGCAUCCUGCAAAGAAGAUUGCCAACAUUAAAAAUAUUCGUUACAACGAACAAGUUGGAAAUAGGAAUGGGGCAAAGAGAAAAACUACCUCGUCGACGAUCGUAGAAGAUGGUGCACCCUCAGCCAAGCUGGCCACCAAUGACUCGUCCAUUUGUGAGGAUUUUCCCUUGUCCGAGCGAGAAGACGUUGCCACAACGGGCGGACUCAUGGGAGUAUCUACAAAGUUCAAAGAGCAACCAGUCAGAAACCAAUAGCACGAGCAAAGGUAAGACAUCAAAAACUGAACUACCUUCUGCUUCGGUGAUUGGGGGGUAGACGCCCUGGGAGGAAGGUGGCUCAUUCAUGAGUUGUGAUGAAGAAUCUGGGACUGAAGAUAUACCUUUAAGCAUGGUCCCAUCAUCAACCGGUUUGGAUGAAGUAGCCUCAACAGGGGAUGAUGGAACAGGAGUUGGUAAUGCCAAAGCCUUUGAAGGGGAAGCUGAGCUUUUCUGAAAAGUCCAAAAGAUCAUCAGUACACAGAAAAUUUUCAGAUGGGGAAGAGCAUACUUGUAAAUAGGCCAAUUUAAAUACCUUCCUUUUAACGAUAAGAGGGACAUCAUCAUCAUCAUCAUCAACAUCAUCCUCCAGAAUGGGAGAUGCUGAAGCUGGCCGUUUGCGGCUUGGAACACUCUUGGCCAUAGUUGGCUUGGCAGGGAGGGAAGAAGAUGGACGAGCAGAUUGUUUAGUACGACGAGAAGGAGAAGGGUUCCGAAUAGACAAAGGAGGGGCCAAAACAGGAGGAGGAGAAGAAAUACUCGGUUGAUCUAAUGAAUGAAAGGCACGGUUGGCCUCAGUCGCAAAUAAUCUGCGCUUCACCGAUGGCCAAAGUUGUUCGAAAAGAGGNAUCG